GUUGGCUCAGAAGCAGCCACUCAUUUAAAGAGUGCGUAAUAGCUCACUGGUCGAGCGUCUCUGCGCGGAAAAUUUAACGGGGCUAAGAUACAAACCGAAGCUUAGGCUGCAUCGUAAGAUGCGGGGUAGGGGAGCGUUGUGUAAGCGGAGAAACAGUAGCGUAAGCGGCUGUGGAGUUUACAGAAGUGAGAAUGCCGGAAUGAGUAGCGCGAAUGUGGUGAGAAUCCACAUGGCCGGAAACCUCAGGUUUUUGGAGGAAGGUUCGUCCGCUCCAAGUUAGGCGGGAGCUAAGGUGAGGCCGAAAGGCGUAGCCGAUGCACAGACGGUAGAGAUUCCGUCACCACCAAAAGAGUUAAGCACAGGGACACAUUUGAAGUCUCAGAGCCGGGUGUUGGUUCCGGUAGAGAUCGAGGGAAAUUAGUACCGAAGUCUGAGAUGGAAGAUGGCGAGAAAAGCUGUGUGUAUUUCUGAGGUGCCCGUACCGCAAACCGACACAGGUAGGUAGGAAGAAGAUUCUAAGGCCAACGGGAGAAGGGUUGUUAAGGAACUCGGCAAAUUGACCCCGUAACUUCGGGAGAAGGGGUGCUCCAGAGAUGGAGCCGCAGAGAAUCGGCCCAAGCAACUGUUUACCAAAAACACAGGUUUGUGCUAAAUCGAAAGAUGACGUAUACGAGCUGACGCCUGCCCGGUGCUGGAAGGUUAAGAGGAGAUGUGCAAGCAUUGAAUCGAAGCCCCAGUAAACGGCGGCCGUAACUAUAACGGUCCUAAGGUAGCGAAAUUCCUUGUCAGGUAAGUUCUGACCCGCACGAAUGGCGUAACGAUUUGGGCACUGUCUCAACAGCCCGCCCGGCGAAAUUGUAGUACCGGUGAAGAUGCCGGUUACCCGCGACAAGACGGAAAGACCCCAUGGAGCUUUACUGUAGCCUGAUAUUGGGUUUCGGUGUUGCAUGCACAGGAUAGAUGGGACACUGGGAAGCGGAUGCUUUGGCGUUCGUGGAGUGGACGUUGGGAUACCAUCCUUGCGACAUUGGAAUUCUAACCUGCGCCUCUGAAUCGAGGCGGGGGACAUUGUCAGGUGGGCAGUUUGACUGGGGCGGUCGCCUCCUAAAAAGUAGCGGAGGCGUUCAAAGGUUCGUUCGAUCUGGACGGAAACCAGAUGAAUGAGUGCAAACGCAUAAACGAGCCUGACUGCGAGACUGACGGGUCGAGCAGAGACGAAAGUCGGAGUUAGUGAUCCGGUGGUAUGUGAGUGGAAAUGCCAUCGCUCAACGGAUAAAA
rnacentral:rRNA from 1 species